UACAGAGGGGGCAAGCGUUGUUCGGAAUUACUGGGCGUAAAGGGCGCGUAGGCGGCCUGCUAAGUCGAACGUGAAAUCCCCGAGCUCAACUCGGGAACUGCGUCCGAUACUGGCAGGCUUGAAUCCGGGAGAGGGAUGCGGAAUUCCAGGUGUAGCGGUGAAAUGCGUAGAUAUCUGGAGGAACACCGGUGGCGAAGGCGGGAUCCUGGGCCAGUACUGACGCUGAGGAGCGAAAGCGUGGGGAGCAAACAGG
rnacentral:rRNA from 1 species